AUCCAGUUGACUAGUUCCAAAUAGGACGAAACGCAAGUCCUAUAU
rnacentral:hammerhead_ribozyme from 1 species